rnacentral:lncRNA from 1 species
AUAGGGGAGGGUCCAAUGGUGGGGGGGGUCUCAUUGUCCCCAUGGGGGGGUCCCUGUUCCCCCCCCCCCAGGUGGAGUUCCAUCUGUGUAUCCGUGUGGGGGGCACCGUCAGUUCCUGCAGCCAUGGGUGAGCAAAGACCCCCCCCCAAAUAAAGGGGUUCUACCCCAUGGUUGCCCCAUAGGGCUGCCCCAUAGGGCUACCCCAUAGGGCUGCCCCAUAGCUCUGCCCCAUAGCUCUGCCCCAUAGGGCUGCCCCAUAGCUCUGCCCCAUAGGGCUGCCCCAUAGCUUUACCCCAUAGGGCUACCCCAUAGGGUUACCCCAUAGCUCUACACCAUAGGGCUGCCCCAUAGCUCUGCCCCAUAGGGUUACCCCAUAGCUCUGCCCCAUAGGGCUGCCCCAUAGCUCUACCCCAUAGGGCUGCCCCAUAGCUCUGCCCCAUAGCUCUGCCCCAUAGGGCUGCCCCAUAGCUCUGCCCCAUAGCCAGGAGAGCGCAUGGGUCCUGGAUGGGCUGCGGCUGCGGGUUCAGAGCCGACACUUCAUGCGCACCGGGACCCCUUCCAGCCCCACAACCACGGUUCCCGGCAGCUGGUUCUGACCCAUUUGGAGCCAACAUUGAGCUGCAGCCGAUCCCUGUUGGGCCGGGCAGUGAAGGAGCUGCUGCACCCACUGCUGGAUGGGGUGACAAGGAGGAAUAGGGUGACCCCAUAGGGACACAUAGAGACCCAUAGAUACCCCAUAGGGACCCAUAGAGACCCAUUGAGACCCCAUUGAGAGCCAUUGAGACCCCAUAGGGACACACAGGGACCUGCUGCACCCGCUGCUGGAUGGGGUGACAAGGAGGAAUAGGGUGACCCCAUAGAGACCCCAUAGAGAUCCACUGAGACCCAUAGAUACCCAUAGAGACCCAUAGAGACCCAUAGAGACCCAUAGAGACCCAUAGAGAUCCAUAGGAGCCCAUAGAGACCCAUAGAGACCCCAUAGAGACNCCCAUAGAGACCCAUAGAGACCCAUAGAGAUCCAUAGGAGCCCAUAGAGACCCAUAGAGACCCCAUAGAGACACAUAGACCUCAUAGAGACCCACUGAGAUCCAUUGAGACCCAUUGAGACCCAUAGAGACCCAUAGAUACCCAUAGAGACCCAUUGAGAUCCAUUGAGACCCCAUAGAGACCCAUAGAGACCCCAUAGAGACCCCAUUGAGACCCAUUGAGACCCCAUAGAGACCCAUAGAGACCCAUAGGGAUCCAUAGGAGCCCAUAGGGACACACAGGGACCUGCUGCACCCACUGCUGGAUGGGGUGACAAGGAGGAAUAGGGUGACCCCAUAGAGACCCCAUAGAGACCCAUAGAGACCCAUUGGGAUCCAUAGAGACCCAUUGAGACCCAUUGAGACCCCAUUGAGAUCCAUAGAGAGCCAUUGAGAGCCCAUAGGGACACACAGGGACCUGCUGCACCCGCUGCUGGAUGGGGUGACAAGGAGGAAUAGGGUGACCCCAUAGAGACCCCAUAGUACCCCAUAAAUACCCCAUAGGGACCCAUAGGGACCCCAUAGGGAUCCAUUGAGAUCCAUAGAGACCCAUAGGGAUCCAUAGAGACCCAUAGAGAUCCCAUAGAGACCCAUUGAGAGCCAUUGAGACCCCAUAGGGACACACAGGGACCUGCUGCACCCACUGCUGGAUGGGGUGACAAGGAGGAAUAGGGUGACCCCAUA